GAUCCUGGCUCAGGAUGAACGCUGGCGGCGUGCUUAACACAUGCAAGUCGAACGAAGCACUUUAUAAAGCUUGCUUUAAGAAGUGACUUAGUGGCGGACGGGUGAGUAACGCGUGGGUAACCUGCCUUACACAGGGGGAUAACAGUUAGAAAUGACUGCUAAUACCGCAUAAAACAGCAGAGUCGCAUGACUCAACUGUCAAAGAUUUAUCGGUGUAAGAUGGACCCACGUCUGAUUAG
rnacentral:rRNA from 1 species